rnacentral:rRNA from 1 species
GGAUUAGUGCGCCGGUCGUGCCUUCGGUAUGUACUGGUGUUACUGGUUCCUACCUUCUGACGAACCGUCAUGUCAUUAAUUUGGUGUGGCGGGGAAUCAGGACUGUUACUUUGAAAAAAUUAGAGUGUUUAAAGCAGGCCUAUGCCUGAAUACGUUAGCAUGGAAUAAUGAAAUAGGACG